rnacentral:rRNA from 1 species
UAGUUAGUUUAGUUGGGGUGACUGCCAUCUAAAAAGUAACGAUGGUGUCCGAAAAUAAAAAUUUUAUUUACUUGUUUUACAAGUAUUAAUCAAAAUUGUUUGUUUAUUUGAGUGGAUUCAUAUAUAUAUGUACCACAAAUAAAAUUUUGGAAUAUUGUCCAGGUUACUUUUAAUGUUUUUUAGGUAAUCGAUUAUCAGAUAAAAAUUACGCUAGGGAUAACAGGCUUAAAAUCUAGGCUAGUUCUUAUUGUCUAGAAUAUUUGGCACCUCGAUGUUGGCUUAUCUUGUCCUUCUGGUCGCAUAAACUAGAAAGGGUUUUGGUGUUCACAAAUGAAAAAGAUACAUUAGCUGAGUUCAGAACGUCGUGAGACAGUUUGGUCCCUAUCUACUGAGACAACUAUGAAAAAAUAUUUUAUCUGUUAAAUAGUACGAAAGGAUUUUUAACAGUAUGCCUAU